rnacentral:rRNA from 1 species
AGAACGAACGCUGGCGGCAUGCCUAACACAUGCAAGUCGAACGCUCUUGGGGCUUCGGUUCCAAGGGAGUGGCGCACGGGUGAGUAGCGCGUGGGAACCUGCCCUGGAGUGGGGGAUAACCGAGGGAAACUUCGGCUAAUACCGCAUACGCCGGGAAACCGGGAAAGAUUUAUCGCUCUAGGAGGGGCCCGCGUCGGAUUAGGUAGUUGGUGGGGUAACGGCUUACCAAGCCUGUGAUCCGUAGCUGGUCUGAGAGGACGACCAGCCACACUGGGACUGAGACACGGCCCAGACACCUACGGGUGGCAGCAGUCGAGAAUUUUUCUCAAUGGGGGAAACCCUGAAGGAGCGACGCCGCGUGGAGGAUGAAGGUCUUCGGAUUGUAAACUCCUGUCAUUUGGGAACAAGCUGCGCGCGUUAACUGCGCGCGCAUUGAUAGUACCAGAAGAGGAAGAGACGGCUAACUCUGUGCCAGCAGCCGC